rnacentral:rRNA from 1 species
ACCAGACUCCUACGGGAGGCAGCAGUGGGGGAUAUUGCACAAUGGGGGGAACCCUGAUGCAGCGACGCCGCGUGGGUGAAGAAGCGCCUCGGCGCGUAAAGCCCUGUCAGCAGGGAAGAAAAUGACGGUACCUGAAGAAGAAGCCCCGGCUAACUACGUGCCAGCAGCCGCGGUAAUACGUAGGGGGCAAGCGUUAUCCGGAUUUACUGGGUGUAAAGGGGGCGCAGACGGCGAUGCAAGCCAGGAGUGAAAGCCCGGGGCCCAACCCCGGGACUGCUCUUGGAACUGCGUGGCUGGAGUGCAGGAGGGGCAGGCGGAAUUCCUGGUGUAGCGGUGAAAUGCGUAGAUAUCAGGAGGAACACCGGUGGCGAAGGCGGCCUGCUGGACUGCAACUGACGUUGAGGCCCGAAAGCGUGGGGAGCAAACAGGAUUAGAUACCCCCGUAGC